GAUGAACGCUAGCUACAGGCUUAACACAUGCAAGUCGAGGGGCAGCAUGAUUGAAGCUUGCUUCAAUCGAUGGCGACCGGCGCACGGGUGAGUAACACGUAUCCAACCUGCCGAUAACUCGGGGAUAGCCUUUCGAAAGAAAGAUUAAUACCCGAUAGUAUAGUAUUUCCGCAUGGUUUCACUAUUAAAGAACUUCGGUUAUCGAUGGGGAUGCGUUCCAUUAGAUAGUUGGCGGGGUAACGGCCCACCAAGUCAACGAUGGAUAGGGGUUCUGAGAGGAAGGUCCCCCACAUUGGAACUGAGACACGGUCCAAACUCCUACGGGAGGCAGCAGUGAGGAAUAUUGGUCAAUGGACGAGAGUCUGAACCAGCCAAGUAGCGUGAAGGAUGACUGCCCUAUGGGUUGUAAACUUCUUUUAUACGGGAAUAAAGUGGAGUAUGCAUACUCCUUUGUAUGUACCGUAUGAAUAAGGAUCGGCUAACUCCGUG
rnacentral:rRNA from 1 species